AGGAUAAACGCUGGCGGCGUGCCUAACACAUGCAAGUCGAACGCUCUCUGGCAACAGAGGGAGUGGCGGACGGGUGAGUAACACGUGGGUACCUACCCCAAGGUGAGGAAUACCGGCGAGAAAUCGCCGACAAUACCGCAUAGCUUUCGCAAGAAAGAAAGCUUCGCAAGAGGCGCCAUGGGAAGGGCCUGCGGCCGAUUAGCUAGUUGGUAAGGUAAAAGCUUACCAAGGCGACGAUCGGUAGCUGGUCUGAGAGGACGAUCAGCCACACUGGGAUUGAGAACGGCCCAGACUCCUACGGGGGGCAGCAGUGAGGAAUUUUCGUCAAUGGGGGCAACCCUGAACGAGCAACGCCGCGUGCAGGAAGAAGGUUUUCGGAUCGUAAACUGCUUUUCUCUGGGACGAGAACGGACGGUACCAGAGGAAUAACGCCCGGCUAACUACGCGCCAGCAGCCGC
rnacentral:rRNA from 1 species